rnacentral:rRNA from 1 species
UACGUAGGGGGCAAGCGUUGUCCGGACUUACUGGGCGUAAAGCGCGUGUAGGCGGAAGUGCAAGUCCGGUGUGAAAGCCCCCGGCUCAACCGGGGAAGGUCGCUGGAAACUGCGCUUCUUGAGUACAGACGAGGUAGGCGGAAUUGACGGUGUAGCGGUGAAAUGCUUAGAUAUCGUCAAGAACACCGAUAGCGAAGGCAGCUUACCAGGCUGUAACUGACGCUGAGGCACGAAAGUGUGGGAUCAAACAGG